GAUUGUACUGUUUUGUUUUGUAGUUUGAGUGCCAAAACAGAGGAGCUCAAAACUCCCAAGAUUUACACAAAAACAGGAGACAAAGGGUUUUCCAGCACCUUCACUGGGGAGCGUAGGCGAAAGGAUGAUAUUGUAUUUGAAGCUUUGGGCAGUACAGAUGAAUUGACAUCUGCAAUUGGGCUGGCAGUUGAAUUCUGCCUGGAGCAAGGUUUUGAGUUUGAGAAGGAACUUUACAAGAUCCAGUGUGUGUUGCAGGAUGUUGGAUCCAACGUAGCUACUCCCAUUUCUUCUGCACGAGAGAGCCAUCUUAGUAAGGAAUUUAAAGGAAAUCAGUUAAGGCUGAUGUAAUUUUAAUCUUCUGGUCCUAUAGAACCUGUGUUUUUCCUUUGCAUCCUCUUUUCUAGAUGCACACUAUCUGAUUGAUAGUGAACAGGCUGU